rnacentral:rRNA from 1 species
UACGUAGGUGGCGAGCGUUGUCCGGAUUUACUGGGCGUAAAGGGAGCGUAGGCGGACUUUUAAGUGAGAUGUGAAAUACUCGGGCUCAACUUGGGUGCCGCAUUUCAAACUGGAAGUCUAGAGUGCAGGAGAGGAGAAUGGAAUUCCUAGUGUAGCGGUGAAAUGCGUAGAGAUUAGGAAGAACACCAGUGGCGAAGGCGAUUCUCUGGACUGUAACUGACGCUGAGGCUCGAAAGCGUGGGGAGCAAACAGGAUUAGAUACCCCGGUA